CUCUUUUUGAAUAUAAUUUAAAGUUGGGCCUGCCCACUGAAUUUUGAAGGGCCGCAGUAUUUUGACUGUGCAAAGGUAGCAUAAUCAUUAGUUUUUUAAUUGAAAGCUUGUAUGAAUGGUUUGAUGAGAAAAUUUCUGUCUCAAAUUUAUUUUUUUAGAAUUUUAUUUUUAAGUUAAAAAGCUUAAAUAUAGUAAAAAGACGAGAAGACCCUAUAGAGUUUAAUUUAAAAUAAAUUUUUUUAUUAAGGAAUUUUAUAUAAAUAAAUUAUUUUUAAAUUAUGUUGGGGUGACAAAAAAAUUAAAUAAACUUUUUUUAUUUAAAAACAUUGAUUUAUGAAUUUUUGAUCCAUNNAAAUGAUUAUAAGAAUAAAUUACCUUAGGGAUAACAGCGUAAUUUUUUUUGAGAGUUCUUAUUUAAAAAAGAGAUUGCGACCUCGAUGUUGGAUUAAAAUAAAUUUUUGGUGUAGAAGCUAAAANNUUAGGUCUGUUCGACCUUUAAAAUUUUACAUGAUCUGAGUUUAAACCGGUGUAAGCCAGGUUGGUUUCUAUCUUUUAUAAAAGAAAAUAUUUUAGUACGAAAGGAUCAAAUAUUUUAUUUAAAAUAUUAAAGUUGAAUAAAAUUUUUAUUUUGGCAGAAUAGUGCGAAGGAUUUAGAAUCUUUUUAUGUAAUUUAUUACAAAUAAAAAUUGAUUUAAUUUUAAUAUUAUUGAAUUUUGUAAUUUUAGUUUUAGGAGUUUUAGUNGGAGUAGCAUUUUUAACUUUAUUGNAGCGAAAACUUUU
rnacentral:rRNA from 1 species